rnacentral:tRNA from 1 species
GCCCUCGUAGCUCAGCUGGAUAGAGUACUCGGCUACGAACCGAGCGGUCACAGGUUCGAAUCCUGUCGAGUGCACCA